AUGAAGAUGACAUUCGCAAGAAAAAACGGGAAAAAGAGUUUUUCGAAUGGUUUUGAUGAGUCACCUUCCAAGAAAUACAUAAACAGUUCCGAUUCACGAUGGAGUAGUAGUAGUAAUAACGGCGGUGGUCAUUCAAAUGGAAAUGGUGGAAAUAGUAAUGUGGUGGAUGAGCUCAUACGACAAUCCUCAUUGUCGGAUAAAGUGACUUCAUGGAACGGUAGCAAAUCCUCGACAUUUUCUUCAUCUUUUAAUUACAAUCGAUCUAGAAGUGACUCACGAGAUCGCUACGAUGAAGAAAUGGAUAGAGGGCGAACUAAAAAGAUUAAGAGACGCCAUUCCGACACUUUACCCUACCAUAGCAGCAGUAGCAAUGGAAUGAAUCCAUUUCAAGCGGCUCAACAAAACGGAUUUCAUCAUAGCAACAGUUAUCACCAUAGCCACCACCAUAGGAAUUCUUCCUCCUACAAGGAUUAUAACAACAGACACCAUCGCCGCCCCUAUCACCAUCGAAAUAGUUUGAGGAAUUCCCAUGGGGGUUCCUUUAACGAGGAAAAUUUCAGAAAGGGAGGAGGAAGUAGUUAUCGCCAAAAUGAUUACCAUCAUCGAUCCAGACGAUGAACAUAACGAAAGGUGCCUUUGGAAAGGGGGGAGUGGAUUAAGUUAAUGAUCUCCACCAUUACAAAAAUCUCCUUCUUUAAAGAUUGUUUGUUUUUUUGUCUCGGAAGACGCGCGACUCUCCUUAAUCAGUCAUCAUGAACACUUCACAUCUCAUAAUUCCAGACACAAACAUGUUUGAAAAUGAAAUUAUCAUUCAUCAAAAAUGGGCAGGAGCCUCUUGGAUGUCAAGUGUGUCUGGUGUCAUGGUGAAGUUCUCUGAGGAACUAGGCCCUGCUGAUUUCCAGACUUAUCCUUCAAAUGUACUUCUUCUCAUCAAUGAAGAUGACUACGUGGCUGAGUCAAGAACAUAUAAAACUAAAUUGGCCAAGUUCUAUAAUUCUGUUAUCAAUUGCGAGGGCUUAAAAGGAACAGUCAUUUGCGUCAAGUCUUCGGAUUUGACUGACACCGCAUUCAUUGCUUUACAAACAUUCUGUAUCAUAGACUUGGGUCUUCAAAUAAUUCCUAUACGAAAUAUAGCCUCUCAGUUACCUCAACUCCUAGUUCAGUUUUCCAUUUCGAAUAAUCGCCAUAGAAAAGUGAAUCCUUUCAAGUUCGGCAUUGACACAAAUGAAUCCAAUUCAUCUACUCAUGGAUACCCGGAUCCUAAGCUCAUAGAGACACUCUCUACUAUUUAUGGAUUAAGUGAUUUAAAAGCCCGAUUACUCUUAGAAAAGUUUGGAAGUAUCUAUGAAAUUGCCCGAUUGUCAGUUUCAACAAUGGCUCCGGUCAUCGGAACUUCCGCAGCGCGCUUUGUUUUUAAUUUUUUUCACCAAAAAAGAAAUUAGUUAUUAUUCCUAAUAAAUAAAUUUAGAAAAUUCUCAAUUGAAUUGAAUUCAAUCACAGUUAUGUGCCAAAAGAACUUACAUUUCGAUUUUUUUUUUAAAG
rnacentral:misc_RNA from 1 species